CGCUGGCUCAGCCGGGCGUGGGCGCGGCGACGUGCCUUUAUGUGGGGCGGGGCGACGCCGGGUUCUGGUCGCGGCUGGUGGC
rnacentral:tRNA from 1 species